rnacentral:rRNA from 1 species
AGCAGCCGCGGUAAUUCCAGCUCCAAUAGCGUAUAUUAAAGUUGUUGCAGUUAAAAAGCUCGUAGUUGAAUUUCAGGCCUGGCUGGACGGUCCGCCUUUUGGGUGAGUACUGUCUGUGGUCGGGUCCUACCUUCUGGCGAAGCGUCAUGGCCUUAACCGGCCGUGGCGGGGAACCAGGACUUUUACUGUGAAAAAAUUAGAGUGUUCAAAGCAGGCAAUCGCUUGGAUACAUUAGCAUGGAAUAAUGGAAUAGGACAAUGGUUCUAUUUGUUGGUUUCUAGGACCGUUGUAAUGAUUAAUAGGGAUAGUUGGGGGCAUUAGUAUUCAAUUGUCAGAGGUGAAAUUCUUGGAUUUAUUGAAGACUAACUACUGCGAAAGCAUUUGCCAAGGAUGUUUUCAUUAAUCAAGAACGAAAGUUAGGGGAUCGAAGACGAUCAGAUACCGUCGUAGUCUUAACCAUAAACUAUGCCGACUAGGAAUCGGGCGAUGUUGACAAAAUGACGCGCUCGGCA